ACAAAAUAUAGUGUACAUCUGGAAUUUAACUUUUUAGGAGGACCGGUGACUUGAUUUAUGGUUUUCCGAUUCAUUUCACAAGCACUAAUGAAAUUAAGCAUAUUGCACCCUUGGCAAGGCAAUUACCAAAUGCUAUGAGAUGGUGUGGUCAGUGGACCAUAUCUAUUAUUUCCUCUUCGUGUUACUAAAGUAGCUAAGUAAUGACAAAACAAAACAGCAAGAAACUUUUCAAGUUUUUCUUUUGAGCGAACUUGUGUUCUUUCAGGCAAGGUUACUCCAGAAAGUGUCAUAUUCAGUUUUGGUAACUUCUUGACCUUCUCAGUGUAAAAUGUAUACCCCCUUCACAUGUAAGUUUCUUGCAAGAAAUGUCUUACGCUUUAAAUAUACAAGGCCGUUUUUGGCAAAUACAGAAAUACACAUGCCAGUUGGAUACCAGUGAACACCCUUGCUUGCAAAUUGCAUUGAAAUUGUUUCUCAAAAUGAAUCUCUGGCACAUCUUCUGCACUGUGAAAAUUGCACCCUGCAUAAUUCUUUAUCAAAGCAUAAACUAAAAAGACGUACGGUAGAAGUAUGCCACUGGUAAUAAUGUAUAUAUGCAUUCCUUGUACUCUGGCACUUGAUAUCAUAAUGUAUAUACGCAUUCCUUGCACUCUGGCACUUGAUAUCAUGAGAGGCAGAAACAUUGAAGCAGCAAUGGAUUAACAUUUGGAGGGGAACUACUCGACAGAGGUGACUACUACACUGCUGAACCUUGCUUCUCAGUGUCUACAGUAUGAGCCAAGAGAUCGUCCUGACAUAAAAAAGUUGGUUUCCAUACUGGAGCCUUUGCAGACAAAAUCAGAGGUAACCAUAUUUGUUCUUCUGUAUUUCAUAUUUGAUUACGUUUUUGCGAAAGGAGUAUAUUUAAUGUCCUGGCAUCACACAUAUCUCAUGCUAAUGACUGUGUUCCAGAACUACUGUGUGAUGUUGCUUUAUUUUUACCCUGUAAAACCAAUUUUUGUCACGAUGCGACAAUAGAAGUUAAAAUACAGAACAGAGAAAUCUUCAGUAUAUAAUGUCCAAUUUGCCAGACACUGUAGUAGAUGCUUACCUGCACCGCUGUACAGAUAGAUUAUGUUACCAGCUUGCCUUUGUAUACUACAUCGAAGUAUUUUGAUCAAAAUGCACAAAUAUUUGUUUUACUACUAUUUUUGUUACAUAUAUUGUAUGUCUUGCAAGAUGGACCUAACUGCCAUCCAUCAGAUCCUAUUCACGACACAUUACAGAGAAGAUGAAUGGUCCAAUGAGCUAUCUUUUCAAGAAUGGACACAAUAGAUGAGGCAUGAGGGAUAUGUUGGAUGCAAGGGAACGUGGCGAGUUUUCCUUUAAAGACAAAUAUUCUAAUGCAGCAAUCAUUGUUAUGAAAGCCCUUAUUAGUGUCCUCAGUUUUUUUUUUUUUGAAAGCAGUGUCCUCAGAUAUAUCAACCCAAUGUAGCUGAUUCAUCCUUUCCCUGUGUUUCACAGUUUGUUGAUGUGGGGACAAUGGGGGUUACCAACUGUGUCUGCCAGAUGAAGCUUGUGCUACUUUACGUGUGACCAACCUGAUGCUGCAAUCCUUGAUGCCAUGCAACUAUGCAAGCAUAGAUCGUCUCUCCUGAUAUGCCAACAGCAUUCUAUAUUCAGGCCGUUGCACUACCCAAGCUGAACAUGCAAAGUGAUGCUGUGAACAUUCUGAAUGAGGCUUCAGAGCUAGAAGAGAAAAGGAAAAAGAGCACAAAAGGUCCUUGAGAAGUGGCAUCCCUUAUAUAUAACAUAGAUUCACGCUAUGUAGUAAAUUCCCCAACCCUUUCCCCUGUAGAAAUUGCUUAGCAUAUUGCAUUGGUUAAAUGUGAGAUGAUUAAAAUUUAGAUGUUAGGAAACCUAUGUGGAGAAGAGGCUCUCUACAGAAGAGCCUUGUGGUCAGAAUAACUCAUUUGGUUUGUCGACAUUCCGUGAUAGGUUCUGCAUUUUUUGGGCCCAUGUUUACAGGAUCUGUUACAUUAGAGUUUGAAACUUGAUAUAGGUGCUGGUGGUCCAGGUGGGCCUCUGUAGCCGAAGCUAAUAAACAUGCCUUCGUUUGUGCAAAACUGUUUAUCUAUGAAAUCGAUUCCAUUAAUACA